CCUACGGGAGGCAGCAGUGGGGAAUAUUGCACAAUGGGGGAAACCCUGAUGCAGCGACGCCGCGUGAGUGAAGAAGUAUCUCGGUAUGUAAAGCUCUUUCAGUAGGGAAGAAAAUGACGGUACCUGUUUAAGAAGCCCUGGCCAAAUACGUGCCAGCAGCCGCGGUAAUACGGCGGGGGCCAGCGUUAUCCGGAUUUACUGGGUGUAAAGGGAGCGUAGUCGGUUAUGCAAGUCAGAAGUGAAAGGCCGGGGCUCAACUCGGGAACUGCUGUUGAAACUGGGUAGCUGGAGUGCAGGAGAGGUAGGCGGAAUUCGUGGUGUAGCGGUGAAAUGCGUAGAUAUGAGGAGGAACACCGGUGGCGAAGGCGGCUUACUGGACUGUAACUGACGUUGAGGCUCGAAAGCGUGGGGAGCAAACAGGAUUAGAUACCCGUGUAGUC
rnacentral:rRNA from 1 species